CUUGUGCAUUCUAGGAAGCACCAGCCAUGGCAGAGUCUAUGAAGAGCCCAGCAGCAUAUCACGUUCUUCCAUGCCUUUCUAUAGGGCUGUGUGGCUCAGACAAAACUUGGGCCACUGAGCAGUGUGUGUGUGUGUGUGUGUGUGUGUGUGUGUGUGUGUGUGUGUGUGUGUUUCUUCUAGUCUUCCCACCAUACUUCUGAAGCCAAAGAGAGCAAAGACAGGAAGGCAAGAUCUCUGGAAAGUUCUGCCCUAAGAUUGUAAAGAGCAGCAAAGAGAAGAAAUGCAGCAGCAUUUGGGGUUGGGAUAGAAGUAGCUGGCCUGGGCCUGUGAGAGCUGGCCACCAGAAGCCAGCAUGGCAGAAGCAGCCAGAUGGAGAGCUGGCGCUGUCUCAAGUCAAAACAACAAAGUGUUCUAAAUCCUCAGACUCUGGGAGUUGGGCGAGAGCUUGCAGGUUCCCCACCCAAAGCUCCGCGAACUCAGCAGAGACAGGGCGCCAGGAUUCCCCAGCUGCAGACCUUCGGACGCUGGAGGGUGGGGACAUGCAGGACAGAGUCCCUGGGGAGCUUCCUCCUGGUCUGCCUGCCUCGGUUCAGAGGAAGAGGCUUCUGUUUUCACACUGAGGCACAGACAGACAGUAGAACAAAACGGCAGUGUGGAACCAAGGCGCCCCAAACCCUGCAGAGGAAACACGAUCAAAGAGAAGCCACCGGGCUCUCCCUUCUCUCUCCCUUUCUGUUUGUUAUGCCGUGCGGUGGCUCCCAUGCCCUGGGAGUUUCCAAGAAGCCCUCUGGGUACCUGCUUAAA